rnacentral:rRNA from 1 species
GACGAACGCUGGCGGCGUGCUUAACACAUGCAAGUCGAACGGAAAGGCCCUGCUUUUGUGGGGUGCUCGAGUGGCGAACGGGUGAGUAACACGUGAGUAACCUGCCCUUGACUUUGGGAUAACUUCAGGAAACUGGGGCUAAUACCGGAUAGGGGCUCCUGCUGCAUGGUGGGGGUUGGAAAGUUUCGGCGGUUGGGGAUGGACUCGCGGCUUAUCAGCUUGUUGGUGGGGUAGUGGCUUACCAAGGCUUUGACGGGUAGCCGGCCUGAGAGGGUGACCGGCCACCUUGGGACUGAGAUACGGCCCAGACUCCUACGGGAGGCAGCAGUGGGGAAUAUUGCACAAUGGGCGGAAGCCUGAUGCAGCAACGCCGCGUGCGGGAUGACGGCCUUCGGGUUGUAAACCGCUUUCGCCUGUGACGAAGCGUGAGUGACGGUAAUGGGUAAAGAAGCACCGGCUAACUACGUG